GCGCUGCCUAAUAAUGCAAGUCGAGCGGACAGAUGGGAGCUUGCUCCCUGAUGUCAGCGGCGGACGGGUGAGUAACACGUGGGUAACCUGCCUGUAAGACUGGGAUAACUCCGGGAAACCGGGGCUAAUACCGGAUGCUUGAUUGAACCGCAUGGUUCAAUUAUAAAAGGUGGCUUUUACCUACCACUUACAGAUGGACCCCCGGCGCAUUAGCUAGUUGGUGAGGUAACGGCUCACCAAGGCAACAAUGCUUAGCCAACCUGAGAGGGUGAUCGGCCACACUGGGACUGAGACACGGCCCAAACUCCUACGGGAGGCAGCAGUAGGGAAUCUUCCGCAAUGAACAAAAGUCUGACGGACCACCCCCCCGUGAUUGAUAAAGGUUUUCGGAUCGUAAAACUCUGUUGUUAGGGAAGAACAAGUCCCGUUCAAAUAGGGCGGUACCUUGACGGUACCUAACCAGAAAGCCACGGCUAACUACUUGCCACCACCCCCGGUAAUACGUAGGUGGCAAGCUUUGUCCGGAAUUAUGGGGCGUAAAGCCCGCGCAGGCGGUUUCUUAAUUCUAAUGUGAAACCCCCCGGCUCAACCGGGAAGGGUCAUUGGAAACUGGGAAACUUGAUUGCAAAAAAGAAAAGUGAAAUUCCACUUGUAGCGUUAAAAUGCUUAAAAAUUUGAAGGAACACCAUUGGCAAAGGCAACUCUCUGGCCUGUAACUAACCCUAAGCCCCAAAAACCUUGGGGGAGCGAACAGAAUAAGAUACCCUGGUAGUCCCCCGCCGUAAAACAAUAAGUGCUAAAGUGUAAGAGGGUUUUCCGCCCUUUAUUGCUGCAGCAAACCCCAUUAAGCCACUCCCCCCUGGGGAAUUACGGUCCGCAGGACUGAAACCUCAAAAGGAAUUUGAACGGGGGGCCC
rnacentral:rRNA from 1 species